rnacentral:rRNA from 1 species
GACGAACGCUGGCGGCGUGCUUAACACAUGCAAGUCGAACGGAAAGGCCCUGCUUUUGUGGGGUGCUCGAGUGGCGAACGGGUGAGUAACACGUGAGUAACCUGCCCUUGACUUUGUGAUAACUUCAGGAAACUGGGGCUAAUACCGGAUAGGAGCUCCUGCUGCAUGGUGGGCGUUGGAAAGUUUCGGCGGUGGUGGAUGGACUCGCUGCUUAUCAGCUGCUUGGUGUGGUAGUGGCUUACCAAGGCUUUGACGGGUAGCCGGCCUGGGAGGGUGACCGGCGACAUGAGUACUGAGAUACGGCCCAGACUGCUACGGGAGGCAGCAGUGGGGAAUAUUGCACAAUGGGCGGAAGCGUGAGGCAGAGGCGCCGCGUGCGGAAUAACGGCUUUCGGGUGAUAAACCGCUUUCGCCUGUGACGAAGCGUGAGUGACGGUAAUGAAUAAAGAAGCACCGGCUAACUACGUG